GCCGCAGACCGCCUUAUCGUCGCUCAAUUCGUUGGGGGGAGGAAAGUCCGGACACCAGAGAGAAGCAUAGCGGGUAACGCCCGUCGGUCCCGAUUCAUCGGGACAAGGACAAGUGCAACAGAAAGUAUGUACAGGUAAUGCUGUAGUGAAACCAGGUAAACUCUAUGCGGUGAAAUACCAAGUAUAUCAGCAUUUAAGGGCUUCUCGUCCGUUGUUGAAGGGUAGGUAGCUUGAGUCCCGUAGUAAUGCGGGAUCUAGAUAAAUGAUAAGGCUCUGAUUUAUCAGAGACAGAAUCCGGCUUAUAGGUCUGCAUUUUUU
rfam:Flavobacterium sp. ov086 genome assembly, contig: Ga0070134_102